GGUUUAUCUAACAUAAACAAAUUCAGCAAUGCAGAAUACACAAAAAAAUAAAAGAUCAGCCCUGGGUGGCAUUUCUACUAAAUAUCCAUUUCUUGUCAUAUCUUAUCAUGCAAAGAAAAAUAUUUUCUACUUUGGAACUAAAAGUAGAAAUUGGCAGAGAAUGGAGUUAAUUGUUUUAACAUCACACAGAAUGCAUCACUGUGUUCACGUUACAACCCUUUCAGUUUUUAACCUAUUGAAGAAACAACUCAAUUUCAGCAACAACUCAAGAAGCAACUAUAUUUACCUAAAUCAAGAAACAACUCUUGAGAUACUGGAAAAAUAUUUUCACAGUUAAAUCAGUCAAGCCACAACUCCUCAAAAUAAGUUUGGCUAGAUAACAAAUGGUGAACUAGAUAAAUGACUAAUGCAAAGAAGCAAUGACUGAUGAAUAUGCCUUUAACUGAGCAAUCCAAAAAGGAUAGGAGAAAUAAAUUACUAACUUCAUUAGAAAGCUGAAAGGUAGGAUGGGUUUUUUUUAAUUUAGUUUCUUCUCUUCCUAUUGCCUAAUUUUCCAAGUGGGUCAGAAGAUAAAGUAUAUAACCUUCUGAGCUCAAGGCUUUUAUUCCCUACUUUGGGAUGGAAGUGAUGGGAAAAUAGAAGAACUUUGUUUCCAGCUUCCCUGUCAUAGGCCCCACACAUUCCUUUUUACUCUCUUCACAGAGAAGCAACAGCUGCAGAUAUUAGCUUAGUUUCUCUCUAUGGCAGAGGGUGCCUUGCCAUCUCGGGAGCUAAAGCAUUAUAGCCAGAAUAGUUUAAUUCUGAAAUGUUAAAACUCCAGAGAAGGAACAUAGUGUCUGGACUGCAUGGCCAAAUAUUUUCAAAUACUGACAAGCAAUGAGGUCCUGCGUGUUUAUAUCCUAAGUAAGGGGCGUGCAUAAGAGCACAAGCGUGCCUACCGUUCCUAUCCUACUGUUUCCUUUUGUUAUAUCCAAUUAAAUAUAGUUAUUACAUACUCAUACAUAUAUAUGCUUAUAUAUUGUAUAGUUAUUUCAUGCUUAUGCUUAUAUAUACUGUGUGACAAAAUAAAUAAAUAAAUAAGUAAGUAAGUAAGUGGAACCUUAAUCAUAUAGUGACUAUAAAUGAAAUUUGAGAACAGAUUCUGUAAUACAUAAUGUUAAACAAAAAACAAAAUAAUAUUUACAUGUUCCUAGGCAGAAAUCAACACCUCCCUUUCUCCACUGCAAUAUGCAACUAGUUCCUCCAUCACCCGCCACCUCAAAUGAAAAGAUUAUACACAGCUGCACUAAUCCACAUUUUCAGACUCUUGCAGAAGGUCGACCGUAACAUUAUAAACUUGAAAUCCUAAAAAUCCUAAUUUGAAAUCCUAAAAAAAAAAAAAACAAUCCCAGAGUUACUUUACUCCUGUUUGAUUUCAACAAAACUGGAUGGAAUUUCACAAACAAGUAAGACAAGAGGGGCCGCUCACCCUGCAUACUUUUCCCACAAUGAGAACUAUUUGACAUCUCCUCUCCUUUUCUUAACAACUUUACGAUUUAAGAUGUAUCUGUGACAUAACUCAAAAAUUUAGUUUUAAUUCUUAUACUCGGGCUUUAUAUGGACAUACCUGAAUACAUGCCAGGACCAUUGAUUCUCAACCUGAGUCAUUUUUUUUUUAAAGGAGGUUGAUUACUUUAAUAUAAUAUCCAGGGAAAGGGGAAUAAGAUUGAAAAGUGCUAGUUUCAGGUUAACAGUAACAGAGUUGGAAGGGAUCUUGGAGGUCAUCUAGCCCAACCCCCUGCUCAUGCGUGUACUAGGGAUUCGAACCACCGACCUUUCUGAUCGACAAGUUCAGUGUUAAAAAUGCCACAUAUCUAUACUCAGGCUCUUGAGGCCUGAUGUAUUCCAGAAGCCUAGACUAGGCGCACCAACUUUAUUUAAAUCUACUUAUUUAUUUAUUUUGUCGAGUACAUAUUAGAUAACAUAUUACAAGUAUAAGCAUGAAUUGAAUACGUAAAACGAAUGCAAUUAAAGGGCACAUUAGGGCAGGGACGGUAGGCACGCUGGUGCUCUUAUGCACCUCCUUCUUCUCGCCCCCCAGCUGGGCGCAUGGAGGAGCCCCAUGCUCGCCUCCACGCCCUCCGCCCAUCCUUCAGUGGUCACUGCGGCAGCCUCCGCAGGGAAAGCUUCGUGCCGCUCGUAUCCGUGCCUGGCAUCCCGUUGCAGGGCAUUCGGCAGCCUCCGCCCGGCGUUCCCAACCGACCCACGGCAGCCUCUCACAAAGGAAACGCAGGACGCGAACACGAGAUGGCAGCCAUGUCAGCACCUUUGAGCCUCUCAUCAGAUUAAGCAAGGCCACCCCGAUCCACCAUGUCUUCUCCCUUCUGCAAAUUCCCAGUGAAAAUUCACAAGAGAAGAAUAUAUGUUUGCCACAAAAGUCCAAGUUUUUCGUGAUCGGGAGAUAAGCAUACCUCAUGAAACACUAAAGCGGUUCCACGCAAGAGGAACAAGAGAGAAUUGGAUAUGGUCAAAGCAAACAAUGGGUACAUCAGAGAAAAACUAUUUCCUCUGUUUUCUAAGGUGAUUUUCCACCGUUAUGUUCAAGAGCUCUCCAUUGUGCCCUCCACCAUAGUGAACUCCUAUGGUUAUUUAAAAGAUGCAGGGCUGUGAUAACCUUAAUAUGCUUGUUGAUUUUUCUUCAUGAAAGAUAAGUACAGACUUUAAUAUUCUGAAGCCCAAAGAUUACAUGUGAUUAUUCUUUGUAAAAAAUGAAAACAGGACAUUUUUCUUCUUCUAUGGCAAUGGUGAAUAAAUUCUAGGAUAUCUUUUGUGAUUUUCUAAUAAAGAACCAAAAAUCAGAACUGAUUCUUUUGGCAAAAAAAAAGAAGAAGAAGACGACGACGAAGGGGAGUGCAUUUCAAAUUUUGGAAAGAUUUUGGAAUUUUUGUGAGGCUCAUGGUGUCUAUUACGCCCAUUAUAUUCAGUUUGAAAAGCAUCACAGAAGAUUGAACAUUUCUCCCAGCCCAUUUUACAAGUAGUUCUUCACUUACAACUAUUCGUUUACCAACAGUUCAAAAUUAUGACAGCCUCGUAAAAAGUUACUUAUGACUUGUCCUCAAAAUUAUAAUAGUUAUACCAACCCUUGGUCAUGUGAUUGCCCUGUGGGCUCACAUUUAUGAUGGUGGCAGCAUCUUGUGGUUACAUGAUCGUGUUUUGCAACUUUCUGGCAAGGGGAAGCCAGAUUUGCUUAAUCACUGUGUGAUUCAUUUAACAACCAUGUGAUUUGCUUAAUGCUUGCAUAAAAUGGCUGUAAAAUCAGAUAAUGUGUGAUGUUUCUCGUAACAAACGCAUCACUCAGCAACUGAAAUUCUUGUGGUUAUAAAUUGAGGAGUACCUGUCGUGACAGAGAUAGGUUAUCUGCCAUGAUUGCUGCAACCAUUGGAUGCCAAAGACAUUUUUUUAAAAAAAAGGAAAAAUACAAUCUCUGGCCCCAAAUGAUUGUCUGCCUCUAUCUUAAUGGAACAGUACCCACAAUGAAUUAGAUGAGAUCUAUGCCAUGGGAAGGAAUUGAUUCCAAACAAGCAGAGCUAAUCCAAGCAUGCCAAGCAGUCAUGUAUUUACUGCAGCCGUGUUGUUUCAAAAUACCGUAAAUAUAAUGAAUUUAGUUGAUGCAUCCAUGUAUCAAAAUAUCUCUCUGUCUGGAUGCCUUGGAGAAGUACUGUAUGUUUUUAGUUUUCCCAGUAAUAAAUAUUAUCAAUGGAGAUUAUAAAAACUAAACCAAAAAAAAUCUAUUGACAAUAACUUUAGGGAAAAAAACAGUAUUCAACAAAGGGGGGAAAUCAAUAUAAAAUGUAAAAAAGAAAACUUUAUUACCCUACCAUACUAUGCAUAUUUUUAAAUCCUCAAACUAUAAAAUCUAAGGAGUCUGCUACUACUGUAGCAUUUUACUUUCUCUACAUGUAUAAGCAUUCAUUUUACUGGAAUGUUUUAUCAUAGAGUACUGUUACAAGUUGAGCACUGACUGCUUUGUUUUAUCUGGCACGCAAACUUGGGUUCUAUUAAAUUGAUAGAAUCUUGAUUUGUAACCACUCUAAUCAUACAUCUGAGAAAUUUAUACUUUUUGUGAGGUAAACUAAUUCAUCAGCGAGAGUAAUAACUUUGUUCCUAAUAUGAUAAUUUUUAUCACUGGGGAAAAUUAUACUUCCUUGACUGCUUCCCAGCAUACUUUUUGAAUAACACAAAAGAUAAAAAUAACAUAGCAAUCUGAGGAACUAAUAUUACUGGAAAGAAAACAGUAUGGUGGGAUGAGGGUUUGCAUAUUUCUGAUAUGGCCAGGAAAGAGGUGUUAAAUGUAUUGAAAUCAAAAUAGUUUAUAGUCGCACUGUAUUAAGUUUUAUUGACAAAAUUAUUUAUGUCCAACGAAUUAUUUUUAGGUUUAGGAUAUUAAAACCGAGAUGAACAUUAUCUGGUGGAGGUAAUUUCCAACAAAAUGAAUUUAAUUGCUUACAAAAUAUAUUUUCUUGGAAAUUACCUUCAUUGGAUCUAUAACAUUCAUUUGCAAUAGAUGGGCUCAGCAUUACCUACAGAGGCCAGAACAUUCCAAAAAUUAUCUAGGUCAUUGGAAUUGAAAAUAAUAUUACAAGAGAACUGUUUGUUUAAAAAAAUGUUACGGUCCCUGUUUUCUAGAAGGGAAGAAAGGGAAUGUAUUUACAGGUGGUAUACAAUACUGAAAAUGAAUUUGCACAUAUGAAAAUUAAUUGCAAUUUGAGAUCUAAAGACGGUAAAUUGGCUUAAACUUCAUCUGCAAUCCCUUCCACUUUUCUCAUGUGGCAUCAUAUGAAACCAUAGCUUCCUCUCUCCAUUUUACCUUUCGCAGAAAACCUAUGAAAGAUUUUCAGCAGUAACUUCAGGCUGGUGAAGAAUGUUGGUAUUAAGACAAUAACAUUCUUAGCAAAAGCUGGACCCGAGAAACGAAGAGGUGAAAAGUGACAGGCAUUCUGUACGCAGUAAGAAAGAUAUUUCUUAGCUUGGUUGCUACCUACUGAAGCUUGGCCUAUACUUUUUCCUUCUCCGUCUAGCCUUGGAAAACAGUAGCGUACCUAUCAAUACAAUGAUCAGAGGCUCAUUUACAAGCUGCCUAGUUUUCUGCCACAGCCUCUAAAUAAGAGAUUCUUCCUGGAGCUGCAGUGAUUGAAUUUUCAAUCAUUCAUUAAUCACUUUCAAUGUUAUCAGCUUAGCUAGUGUCAGGGCUUCAGCAAGAUCAGCACCUCCAGCCAUUAUUGGUCCUGCCAGCAAAGUACAAGCUUUUUAUAUUCUCAGCAGGGCCAUGUUCUGGCAUUAAAUACUAAUCUUAAAACCUCCAUGUUGUGAAAGAUUUUGUAAAAGAAAAGGGGAAAUGCUGUCAAAUACAUUAAAACAGAGAAUGCUUUGAAAAUAUACGUUUUUAAGGGCUAGUCAGAUCCCUACUUUUUAAAACCUUAAUUAUGAUUUUAUACAGAGAGGGAAUUUUUCCAUUUUGAUUCUAUUCUGAAUUCUAUUGCAUUGUGGAAUUUAAAUGAUUUAUUUCAUUUAAUAAAUAAAUAAAUGAUUUAUUUAUUUAUUUACCAGCUCACGCUGGUAAAGCCUGUUAUUAAGAACACAGUAGCCUGCAAUUACUGCAGGUUCGAGCCCGGCCCAAGGUUGACUCAGCCUUCCAUCCUUUAUAAGGUAGGUAAAAUGAGGACCCAGAUUGUGGGGGGGGCAAUAAGUUGACUUUGUAAAAAUAUACAAAUAGAAUGAGACUAUUGCCUUAUACACUGUAAGCCGCCCUGAGUCUUCGGAGAAGGGCGGGGUAUAAAUGUAAACAAAAAAAAAAAAAAAGCAUUAUGGAUACAACUAGAAAGCUGCUGUCUCUUCCUCUUAAUAACUUGACAGGGACUCAGUACUUCUUUUGGUUAUACAUCUGAUGAUUUCCUUCAUUAAAAAUUACAGACUCAUAAAAUAUUCUGAAUUUUUCAAUAAGAUGUGCAACAAUAGCUGGGUUUUGAUCUCUGUAUGUUGGAACGGACACUAAUAAAUAAAAUAUGUUUGGACAAGUUCUACAAAGACACCGUUGUGGUUUAAAGAGAGUAUUGGAGAGAAAAAAAUAAGAUCAAAAAUGUGUGAUAUCAAGUUACAUUCUGAAAAUUUAGAACCUAUUGAAGACUAACACAUUUAGAUUUAUUAAUUGUGGGCUGCAGCUAAGGAAGUUGAUUUACUUUGGUGUAUCUGCUUUGAAAAUCCUGGAUAUGUAUGCACUUUCUACAACACAAAUUGAACUUUUAUUAAUGUUGGAGAAUAUCUGAUCAAUAGGUUUCCAUGUGGUCAGUUUUAAAACUUGGGGCCCAUUGAAUUUAUUCUGCUACGUAUCAUUUUUUACUUUCUUUCUAGUUUUUUCCUUGACUUUCCUUGUGGGUUGUUCAUUUUGUAUUAGUUUAGAAUAGAAUAGAAUAGAAUAGAAUAGAAUAGAAUAGAAUAGAAUAGAAUAGAAUAGAAUAGAAUAGAAUAGAAUAGAAUAGAAUAGAAUAGAAUAGAAUAGAAUUCUUUAUUGGCCAAGUGUGAUUGGACCCACAAGGAAUUUGUGUUUGAUGCAUAUGCUCUCAGUGUACAUAAAGAGAAAAGAUACGUUCGUCAAGAAUCAUAAGGUACAACACUAAAUGAUAGUCAUAGGGUACAAAUAAGCAAUCGAAUCAUACUAGGAAACAAUCAAUAUAAAUUGUAAGGAUAUAGCAACAAGUUACAGUCAUGCAGUCAUAAGUGGGAGGAGAUGGGUGGUAGGAACAAUGAGAAGUUUAAUAGUAAUAGUAAUGCAGACUUAGUGAAGAGUUUGACAGUGUUGAGGGGAUUAUUUGUUUAGCAGAGUGAUGGCCUUCGGGGAAAAACUGUUCUUGUGUCUAGUUGUUCUGCUGUGCAGUGCUCUAUAGCGUCGUUUUGAGGGUAGGAGUUGAAACAAUUUAUGUCCAGGAUGUGAGGGGUCUAUAAACAUUUUGAAAGCCCACAGUUUUUGUAUUUCAUUCAGUUUUCUGCUUGGUGACUCAUUUUUAUUUUACUUUCUGUUAAUUAAAAUCAUUGCUUAAAAAAGAUUAUGACUAGGAUUAUGAUGGUAGAUACCGUGCUUAGCACACUCAAUAUUAUACUUAGAUAACUAAUUGCUCUAAUCAUAGGUCUCCAACCUUUUGACUUGCCUGACUCGCAUUGAGUAAAGAGAAAUUGUCUUGGUCCGCAUAUAAAAUAGACCGUAUAAUAUAGUUAAUGUAUACAAAUCACAUAGUAAUGUUAAAAGUUUACGAUCUUGUGGGACCGCAUUACUAGCUGUCCAGGGCCGCAUGCAGCCCACUAGCCAUGGAUGGGACACACUUGCUCUAGAUUCCUAUUUAUAAAACACUCCCCAUUUCUUCUA